rnacentral:rRNA from 2 species
GGUUGUACCGCCACACUGGGAUUGAGAUACGGCCCAGACUCCUACGGGAGGCAGCAGUAAGGAAUAUUCCACAAUAAGCGAAAGCUUGAUGGAGCGACACAGCGUGCAGGAUGAAGUCUUUCGGGAUGUAAACUGCUGUUGUAAGGGAAGAAAAAACUAGAUAGGAAAUGCUCUAGUCUUGACGGUACCUUAUUAGAAAGCGACGGCAAACUAUGUGCCAGCAGCCGCGGUAAUACAUAGGUCGCAAGCGUUAUCCGGAAUUAUUGGGCGUAAAGCGUCCGUAGGUUUUUUGUUAAGUUUAAAGUUAAAUGCUAAAGCUCAACUUUAGUCCGCUUUAGAUACUGGCAAAAUAGAAUUAUGAAGAGGUUAGCGGAAUUCCUAGUGGAGUGGUGGAAUACGUAGAUAUUAGGAAGAACACCAAUAGGCGAAGGCAGCUAACUGGUCAUAUAUUGACACUAAGGGACGAAAGCGUGGGGAGCAAACAGGAUUAGAUACCCUGGUAGUCCACGCCGUAAACGAUGAUCAUUAGUUGGUGGCAAAAGUCACUAACACAGCUAACGCGUUAAAUGAUCCGCCUGAGUAG